GGCUAACGCUGGCGGCGUGUCUUAGCCAUGCAAGUCGAGCGGACUUAUGGGGUAACUUAUAAGUCAGCGGCGGACGGCGGAGUAACACGUAGCUAACCUACCCUCUGGACGGGGAUAACCUACCGAAAGGUGGGCUAAUACCCGAUGUAGUCAUCCUGUAUAGGGGUGAUGAAAGGUGGGCUUCUGUUUACAAGCUCAUGCUGGAGGAGGGGGCUGCGGCCUAUCAGGUAGUUGGUAGGGUAAUAGCCUACCAAGCCGAUGACGGGUAGCCGGCCUGAGAGGGUGACCGGCCCGAGGGGCACUGAGAUACGGGUCCCACUCCUACGGGAGGCAGCAGGCUAGAAAUUUGGGCAAUGGGGGAAACCCUGACCCAGUGACGCCGCGUGCAGGAAGGAGCCCUUCGGGGUGUAAACUGCUGUCGUGUAGGGAGAAGGGUACUAAGGUGAACAAUCUUAGUACUUGACGGUACUACAGGAGGAAGCCCAGGCUAACCUCGUGCCAGCAGCCGGUAAAGCUACGUAGA
rnacentral:rRNA from 1 species